rnacentral:rRNA from 1 species
UACGAAGGGGGCGAGCGUUGUUCGGAAUUACUGGGCGUAAAGGGCGCGUAGGCGGCGAACCAAGUCAGAUGUGAAAGUCCUGGGCUUAACCUGGGGACUGCAUUUGAUACUGGUUUGCUUGAAUUCGGGAGAGGAUAGCGGAAUUCCCAGUGUAGAGGUGAAAUUCGUAGAUAUUGGGAAGAACACCGGUGGCGAAGGCGGCUCACUGGCUCGGUACUGACGCUGAGGUGCGAAAGCGUGGGGAGCAAACAGG